rnacentral:rRNA from 1 species
AUGCCGCGUGUGUGAAGUGUGACGUUACUGACAGAAGAAGCACCGGCUAACUCCGUGCCAGCAGCCGCGGUAAUACGGAGGGUGCGAGCGUUAAUCGGAAUUACUGGGCGUAAAGCGUACGCAGGCGGUUUGUUAAGCGAGAUGUGAAAGCCCCGGGCUCAACCUGGGAACUGCAUUUCGAACUGGCAAACUAGAGUGUGAUAGAGGGUGGUAAAUUUCAGGUGUAGCGGUGAAAUGCGUAAGAUCUGAAGGAAUACCGAUGGCGAAGGCAGCCACCUGGGUCAACACUGACGCUCAUGUACGAAAGCGUGGGGAGCAAACGGGAUUAGAUACCCCGGUAGUCCACGCCGUAAACGAUGUCUACUAGAAGCUCGGUUCCUCGGAACUGUUUUUCAAAGCUAACGCAUUAAGUACGACCGCCUGGGGAGUACGGCCGCAAGGUUAACAACUCAAAUGAAUUGACGGGGGCCCGCACAAGCGGUGGAGCAUGUGGUUUAAUUCGAUGCAACGCGAAGAACCUUACCUACACUUGACAUACUGAGAACUUA